GCAGCCGCGGUAAUACGUAGGGGGCAAGCGUUAUCCGGAUUUACUGGGUGUAAAGGGAGUGUAGGUGGUCUGGCAAGUCAGAUGUGAAAGCCCGCGGCUCAACUGCGGGACUGCAUUUGAAACUGUCAGACUGGAGUGCAGGAGAGGAAAGUGGAAUUCCUAGUGUAGCGGUGAAAUGCGUAGAUAUUAGGAAGAACACCAGUGGCGAAGGCGGCUUUCUGGACUGUAACUGACACUGAGGCUCGAAAGCGUGGGGAGCAAACAGGAUUAGAUACCCC
rnacentral:rRNA from 1 species